AAAACAAAAAUAGAAAUGAGAACUAUAUUAGUAAAUACAUAUUGGUGGUGGCGCCGUUACAACUCCUACAGUCGUAAGGGAGCAGCGCUCGUGUAUACAUACUAGAUAGAUGAUUACAUAAAAUAAGAAAGAGCCCUGUC
rnacentral:ncRNA from 1 species